UGUCCUGCAGUAAUUACACAACUGCUCUGGAAAGCAAAAAGAAGCUACGGGAUCCUUGCCUCUGAGUAGAACACUUGGGAAGGGGCUAAGAAAAAAGUUUUUGCUAAUCCAUUGCUCUUCACUGAGACCUCCCCCAACCUAACCCUAAAGCUGGGAUGGGAAAGCAGAAGAGAGCAUGUUAGGUUUUUAUUGCUUGUUCUACUUUUGGGGAUUGGCUGUGGAGGAAGAAAGUAAACCCUGAUUAUCACGAGGGCAACUUCAGUAUCAGUGGACAGAUAAGGAGAAAGCAGCAUGUUGGCCCCUUUUGCCCCACAGGAAUGACGUUGCAGUGCCUUUCACUGAAAUCUGAGAUCUGAACCCGGGAGGAAGAGCUCAGUUUAGAAAUCACCGUGAAUUUUUCAGGAAGGUGUAGAAGACUUCAAAGUUAAUUUUGAAAUCUGCUGAUCCAUUUGGAAUUUGCAACCAAACUCAGUUCUCAUUUCUACUUGUCUAGUUCCCAAGCUAUUUUACAACUGCUAUUUCACCAGUAUGAACAACAGCUGACCCACAAUAUCUAGAUCAGGCAGAUGCAUAGAACUAGGAGAGGUGGUAAAACUGGAAGAACAUUAGUAAUAUUUCUAGCCACGUUCAUAUAAGCACGGAUGUUUGGACUUGAUGAUCUCUUGAGGUCUCUUCCAAUUCCUGUGAUUCUGUGAUCUCUCUCUAGAAAAACAAACCAAACCCAUCAAACACAUGCAUUAAACUCCAGACGAGCUAAGAAUGGUGACUGUUCUCAAGAGACCACGUGUUUACAAGAAUCUAGGGAUACAGAAGAGGCUGUAGCCAAUUCCAUGACGAGCCCUCAGGCAGAAAAGCAUUACUCCCCUAUACUCGCAUUCAGUGUUUUUUGCAUUCCAAAGACCUAAUGGUCUUUCACAGGCAUCUUAAAUCUCCAUCUGGGAAAUGCAGGACUAAUUUCAAACUCUUCUUGCUUCUGCACUGAAGGAUAUUUUGUUCACCUCUCACCUUACACCUCAAAAGGUAUAUAAUUGCCCAUAAUUGCCAGAGAAAAAGUGUAUAAUAAUGCGUGAGCAACUUGAUACUCCUACUGGCAUUCUAGAUAAAGAUUAAGGUUAUCAAAAUUGCUUACUUUACAAUGCAGAGUUUAUUUUCUGCUCUCAGCAGUUUAUCGGAAUUUUUAUUACUGCAAUGCUGAGAACCUGCUCUCCCAGUACAAGCUCCAGAAGAAAUAAAGAAGAACCACUUAAAGAGGAGAUCACAUGGACAAAGGAACUUGAAAUUACACUGAUCACAUGCAUAUUCUUCUCAUUUUGUCUUCUGGAAGAAUUCAAUUUACUCCUUUCAGUUCAGACAAAUGUCAGAGAAAAGAUGAAAGGCAUGAAGACAAACAGCAUCAGCACAGCUCAUUCACUGGUCAACACUCUCACCAGGUGCAUCAGUAUCAAGCAGGCUACUCACAAGGAGACAGGCAGAACAGAUUGCUCAGCAUUUGCAGCAGUGGAGAGAAUAAAAGCAUCUGAUGAAAUACUGUGUUGUAGGAACAGAAUAACACAGAAGAGCUAGAUCAGCAUUUCACUGCAGAAGUACUCACAUGUCCUGCUGCCCUAGAACCUGCAGUCAUCAUGCUACAGGGAUUUUCCUGUAUAUAUUAUCACCAGAUUAAAUGGACAACAUGCUCUUUAUAGUGUCAGUGAGAAAAGAGUACAAAGUAAAGCAGCAACUCUUAUUCAUACACAGGAACACAGGAAAUGCAGAGCAGAGAGUGUGCAUACAGAUACGUACCAGAGAAGGAGCUGAACAAGGCAGGAACAAGUGGAUCCAUCCAAGCAGUUUGGUAACACUUGGACACUGAAUAGAAGAUGAACAAAGGACAACUGAGAAGUGCUACCAAGGCUAAGAUCUAAGCCCAGAAAUUUGGCAAUACAGCAAAGUACACAAAAAGUAUGCUGUGCAGGCAAACUCUGUGCUAAGUUAAUGCAUGAACGCAUACAACAAUAAGAAGAUGACAAAAACAGAUUUCACAAGGGACAACAAAACAAAGCACCUACACAAGUUUCAGAAGCAUAUCCACCACUGUUAGCUAUCUAAGGCUUAUAAUUCAACACACUGCAACUAUAAAAAUGCUAGGACUGUUCUUAUUGCUGCUUUCACUCAAAGACAGUUAACACAAUGUCACAGUAUCAAAGUGUUCACUACAAAUAACAAAAAUAUCCGUAAAUUUAUAUUAAUCAAUACAAUGCUUUAACAAAGACAAAACAGUACAAACAGUACAAAUUGUGGUGGAUUUUUAAGAUAAGUCUCCAUUAGAAUAUGGCAGAAUAUGUCAAAAAUAGAACUACCUAAGCUGUCAAUGUUUGACUACAAUAAAAAUCAUGAAAAACUGUAACAGACUACCAGACACUAUAACCUUUAGCAGUGCAAAAAAACUGGAAGGUAUUCUCUUCCAAACUACGAAACAGAAAGCAAACCUUUUAAUACGUGCAAAGGAACAUUUCUCCCUUCUCUUCCACUCACAAAUAGAAUAGAAUAGUAGCUGUACCGUCGUAAACUUCUUAAGACUCAAGAAUGUACGAUAGGGCCCAUGUCCCAAAUCAUCAAAAAGUACCCGCAAGGUGUGCAGGCCUACUAAGAUCAAAAGUUCUUGCUGUGGCAAAAAAAAAGAGAUAAAUCUCACUGGAAGGAAAUUGGAGGUCAAAUAUACAUAUUUAACUGUGAAAGAUGUUCUGGAAUUUUUAGUGCCCCAUCCCUGCAGGCAUUCAAGGCCAGGCUGGAUGUGGCCCUGGGCAGCCCUGGUCUGGUGGUUGGCGACCUUGCACAUAGCAAAGAGUUGAAACUAGAUGAUCACUGUGAUCCUUUUCAACCCAAGCCAUUCUAUCAUUCUAUGAUUUUCCCCACAAUAACAGCUCAAGAGACAGAGCUACACUUUUCCAAGAUGGAAGUAAAGCUAAGGAAUCAAAUAUGCACAGCUGAUUGUACCUUGAAUAUCCACAUCUGAUUCAAAGCAAAGAGCAUCUCAGGUACAAACUUUAUUGUACAAAUAAGGUAAUCCCCAGAUUCUCCAAUCAGCCACUUAAGUGAAAAUACCAGAAACAGUCCAAUUAGAAUCAAAAACAGCAAAAACAGACAAGCACAUAUCUUUCACCGAUUCUUAGUUUUCAUUCUCUUCACCUCAGUGAUGGCAAGCUGAUAGAAGGAAAUAUACAUCCACCCCAUAGUCUUUCAAUACAAGUAAAUACAAAAAAAAUCAAGUGUUUAUUGGAAAUCUGCAUGAAGGCACAGAUGAGCUUGAUUACAGACACAUUGUAACAAUUACAAAUAUAUGUAAACACGUUGAGAUAUACAACAAAGCAGUAAUACAGCUAAUACAGGAAUAAAAUGUAAUCUGUUAAAAAAAAACAACAACAAACUUUUGUAUCUGAGGUUCUUUCAGUUAUAAGAUCUGAUUCACACCAACACAGUGUAAUGUUUUUAAGUCACCACUUGGAUUCACACUCAACAAAUCUGCACUUUGACUGUUGUUAUUAACUGAUGUAUUUAUAAACUGGAUCCAAAUUUGAACAGGUUUCCUUCCCUAGGAGCAGGAAAACAAAGGAAUAACCAACUAGACACACAUCCAACCUAGAAUAAGGCUUCAGAGAUUCCCUAAACACGUAAGAGCAAUCACUGAUGUACUGAAAUUAAAUAUAAGCUUCAGAAAAGCUCAAGGACGUUAGUUCCACUUUUACUUGCAUUUGAGGAAAUUGCUGAAUUUCUGCAGGAAAGGAACAGUCUACAUCUGUCAGGUGAUUUUUUUCUUCCUCCACAGGAGGCUUAGAUUUCAUCUGAAACACCUGCCAAAACAAAAGUCAGCAAUCACAAACUAAAGUGCCUUGGACAGCUUAGGCUUUACCACUAGAACAAAAUGCCUUUGUUUACAGAUACAACAUCAAUUCAUAUAGUGAGAAAACUCACCUUUGCAAGUAGAACACUACUUCCAAUAUUUCUGUGGAAAGGGGAAUCACUUUUUUUUUUUUUUUUUUUUAAUUAGAUACCAGCACCAAGAACUUAAAAAAAAAAAAAAACAA